GAGGGUGAUCGGCCACACUGGAACUGAGACACGGUCCAGACUCCUACGGGAGGCAGCAGUAGGGAAUCUUCCGCAAUGGGCGAAAGCCUGACGGAGCAACGCCGCGUGAGUGAUGAAGGUCUUCGGAUCGUAAAACUCUGUUAUUAGGGAAGAACAUAUGUGUAAGUAACUGUGCACAUCUUGACGGUACCUAAUCAGAAAGCCACGGCUAACUACGUGCCAGCAGCCGCGGUAAUACGUAGGUGGCAAGCGUUAUCCGGAAUUAUUGGGCGUAAAGCGCGCGUAGGCGGUUUUUUAAGUCUGAUGUGAAAGCCCACGGCUCAACCGUGAAGGGUCAUUGGAAACUGGAAAACUUGAGUGCAGAAGAGGAAAGUGGAAUUCCAUGUGUAGCGGUGAAAUGCGCAGAGAUAUGGAGGAACACCAGUGGCGAAGGCGACUUUCUGGUCUGUAACUGACGCUGAUGUGCGAAAGCGUGGGGAUCAAACAGGAUUAGAUACCCUGGUAGUCCACGCCGUAAACGAUGAGUGCUAAGUGUUAGGGGGUUCCGCCCCUUAGUGCUGCAGCUAACGCAUUAAGCACU
rnacentral:rRNA from 1 species